GACGCGGAUGCCCAAUGGCUAGGCGGCUGCCUGCAAAGCAGCUUUUAGUGAGUUCGAUUCUCACCUGCGUCU
rnacentral:tRNA from 1 species